GGGAAGGUGGCUCAGUGGUAGAGUGCUUGCCUUGCACUCAUGAGGCUCUGGGUUCGAUUCCUAGGCAUCACA
rfam:Dipodomys ordii contig_55631, whole genome shotgun sequence.